rnacentral:rRNA from 1 species
CAGUAGCCACGGUAAUACAGAGGGUGCGAGCGUUAAUCGGAUUUACUGGGCGUAAAGCGUGCGUAGGCGGCUAAUUGAGUCGGAUGUGAAAUCCCUGAGCUUAACUUAGGAAUUGCAUUCGAUACUGGGAAGCUAGAGUAUGGGAGAGGAUGGUAGAAUUCCAGGUGUAGCGGUGAAAUGCGUAGAGAUCUGGAGGAAUACCGAUGGCGAAGGCAGCCAUCUGGCCUAAUACUGACGCUCAUGCACGAAAGCGUGGGGAGCAAACAGGAUUAGAUACCCCGGUAGUCCCUGUCUCUUAUAC